GUCUUCGGGGCAGGGUGAAAUUCCCGACCGGCGGUAUAGUCCGCGAGCCGCUUCGGCGGCAUGAACCGGUGUGAUUCCGGUACCGACUGUAGAGUCAGGAUGGUAGAAGACG
rnacentral:ncRNA from 1 species